CGUAAAGCACUUUUCGCCAGGGAUGAUAAUGACAGUACCUGGUAAAGAAGUCCCCGGCUAACUCCGUGCCAGCAGCCGCGGUAAUACGGAGGGGGACUAGCGUUGUUCGGAAUUACUGGGCGUAAAGCGCGCGUAGGCGGAUUAGUUAGUCAGAGGUGAAAUCCCAGGGCUCAACCCUGGAACUGCCUUUGAUACUGCUAGUCUUGAGUUCGAGAGAGGUGAGUGGAAUUCCGAGUGUAGAGGUGAAAUUCGUAGAUAUUCGGAGGAACACCAGUGGCGAAGGCGGCUCACUGGCUCGAUACUGACGCUGAGGUGCGAAAGUGUGGGGAGCAAACAGGAUUAGAUACCCUGGUAG
rnacentral:rRNA from 1 species